GUAGGGGGCAAGCGUUAUCCGGAUUUACUGGGUGUAAAGGGAGCGUAGACGGAUGGACAAGUCUGAUGUGAAAGGCUGGGGCUCAACCCCGGGACUGCAUUGGAAACUGCCCGUCUUGAGUGUCGGAGGGGUAAGUGGAAUUCCUAGUGUAGCGGUGAAAUGCGUAGAUAUUAGGAGGAACACCAGUGGCGAAGGCGACUAACUGGACUGUAACUGACGCUGAGGCGCGGAAGUGUGGGGAGCAAACAGGAUUAGAUACCCUGGUAGUCCACACUGUAAACGAUGAAUGCUAGGUGUAGGGGGUAUCGACCCCUUCUGUGCCGCAGUCAACACAAUAAGCAUUCCGCCUGGGGAGU
rnacentral:rRNA from 1 species